rnacentral:lncRNA from 1 species
AGUAGAAUUUGAGAAGUGGCCAGUUGUGCGCAUGUUUUUGUGUUUUUUUUUUUCCAACUCAUUUUUCAGUUUAACUCACACUAACAAAAUUUAAUCAGUAGUCUUCAACGUACCAAAGUAGGAAUACUCACCCAAAUAAAUUCGCAUGCCGUUUCAAACUUUUCCUUCUAUUGGUUGUACUACGUACAAACGAAUGAUCGGGGGCCAGAUGACUCAUCUUUUUGAUAAGUUAGGCUGUAGGUUGCUUGUACCUGCUGGCUUAGAUUCUUGAUGGAGACCAAUACCAGUUACAAAGAUGAGCUAGUUUGAUUGCUAGGCUUCCACUCGCAGCAUAUGUGUAAGAGUCAAUUUUUCUGAUGGAUAGAUGACAAUGAUAUGUAAUGCUAUGGUCCUCCUUUCAUUCUAUUGGGGGCUGGAUGGCUACUUUCUCUUUCUUUCUUGUGGCCUAUGUUUCAUUUUCUUUCAUUGCUUUUCCACUUUUUCUUUGGAAGAAAAAAUUAGCAGCAAGGUAAAUGAGUUUAAAAAAAAAAAAUGUACGAGUUAUUUUUUGAGCUUCCUGAAGAAGUAAAUAGCGCCGUGUGACCUAAAGGAAGUAAAAAUGUGGAAGCUCAGUGAUUUCUGGUGUUUAUUUAACAACUCCCUUGGGUUGUUUGAUCAAAGCUCUUAGCCAGGGCAUUUUUGUGUGUUCUUUGAUGCAAUUAGAGAGUUUGUUUCCCGGAAGCUUUCCAGUCUGUGUAAAGCCACCUUCCCUGGUGUCUCUGUGGAUCUUAAUCUUCUGAAGAGAGAUUGGGCAUGUAAUACUUCAGAAAGGUGCAGGGCUAGUGUUGUUUUCCCCAACUUCAUUUUGAUAUUCACAAGGUGAUGGGAAAAAUAAUUGUGACACUUGCACUUGGUCAUUGAAGGGAGCCCUUGUAUGAUGAGCUAAGGCCGCAAAACUGUGAUGAAUUAACUGACAUGAUUAUCCUGUGUCCAAGGAUCUGUCUAGGAGAGCAUUGUGCUUUCCAUGUUUGUUUUAGGAGAAACUCUGACGUUGGGUAAAAAGUUUUGUCCUGUUUGUUAUACAUCUAUAUAUCCACAUACUGAUAUUUAUUGUUUGGAUUGAAUGGCCUAGGAGGCCUUUGACUAGUGGCUAAGAUAGAGGUCCUAAGAAUUAGAGGUCCUAAGUUCAAUUCCCCUCCUCCCUCCCCGCAUCAUAAAUCCCAGCCUUCCCCUGCUAAAAAGGAAUUGAAAACAAUAAUGUUUGGACUGAAUAUAAAAUUUUUUUACUUGCACGAGGAAUACCAAGAUCAAAGCUGUCUGCCUUCAAAAACUUCAGAUGAUGGUCAACGUGUAUCAGACUACUUAGUUUUUUCAUCAACUUUUAUAAUCAUGUAUGUUAAACCUGGUGAGAGACCUUUAAUUUCUUGAGAUAAGCAAUUGACUUAGGACUUCAUUCAUCUCUGUUGGAAAGCCUCCUGUACAAAUUGCAAUAUAAAUUCCUGUUUGAGAUGCAUUUACGAGUAAAUAAGAUAUCAAAAAGGAUGCUUUCAUGUGAGUUUUGUGGCUGAAGUUUGCUAGUGGAAAUUCUGAGGCGCUAGACCUAGAUUGUCUCAUUUCUUCUUGCUUAGAAAAAUGAUGUGGGCUUGUAUUUUUAUUUUUAUUUUUUAUAUAUUUCCACUUAUAAUUCCUUAAUCACAAUACAUCGCUGCUCAGUUGGUGGGAAAUAUUUAGUGUGUGGACCCACACCAUAAGAGUCCAUGCACUUAAAGGACACUCGAUAUAGUGGAGGUGGUCUUUCAAGGUAGGUAAAAUCUGUCUUGAUAACACACUUGUUAUAACUUGGCUGCAGUCUUCAUUUCUGUGGGGAUACAUAUUUUCAUCGGUUAUAGGAGGAGCCUUGGUGGACAAGUAUGGAGGAAAGAGAGUGAUUGCUUGGGGUGGAGCCCUGUGGUCGUUGGCCACUCUCCUCACACCAUGGGCUGCAAAUCACUCCACAGCAAGCCUCUUGGCUGUACGUGCUUUCUUUGGACUUGCUGAAGGAGUAGCUCUACCCUCAAUGAACACUCUUUUAUCAAGGUAAUGCUAAUUUUCCCUUUGGUAUCUGAUAUAGAAGGUUAAGUUCGGGAAGAAAAUGCUGUGGUUCUUUCUAUAGUUCUUGAAUAUCCAGCAACUGCAAUGAGUUCAACCACACAUGAUUUUGCAAAUGUGGGAUUUUAUUAGACAUUCUGUAUUUGAAAUGUGUAUUCUAAGGAGCAUUUUGCUGUUUGCUUGGUAAGCUUUUUAGGAGAAUAAAGCUGAAAUUUCAUAUAGCCAAUAAUCCCUAUUAGAUUCUCUACUUCUAAUCUAGCAGCUUUUAAUUAUGACAUGUAAACCACCAGCAUGCUAUCUGAUUUUUUUUUAAUCUGUUAUCUUUUUUACAGGUGGUUUCCAAGCCAUGAGAGAGCUACUGCUGUUGGUAUAUCUAUGGGAGGAUUUCAUCUAGGAAAUGUUGUAGGCUUAGUACUAACUCCUCUAUUGAUGUCAUCCAUUGGGAUUUCUGGUCCGUUCAUCCUCUUCUCAUCUCUUGGACUACUCUGGCUGACUACAUGGGUAUAUCGUGUUACAAAUGACCCACAAGAUAGCAGCACUAUCAGAAAAUCAGAAUUGCGUUUGAUACAAGCCGGAAAAUCUGAUUCUUCGGCAACUAAGGGCAAGCUUCCACCUCUAGGCCUCUUAUUGUCAAAACUGCCCGCAUGGGCUAUUAUUCUUGCUAACGUUACUAACAACUGGGUAAGCACCCAUUACUUUCUUAUGUAUUCUUUUUAUUUCUCUUGGAAUUUUGGAUCUGCACUCUGUUAUGAUUGUUUGGACUUGAGGUAUGAAUCUGAAGAAUUCUAUAAAAUGCAGGGAUACUUUGUUCUGCUCUCAUGGAUGCCUGUGUAUUUCAAAACUGUGAGUUCCAAAACUUAGGUUUCUCCUUGUAAGAUUUUUCCUUGCCCUCUGAUUCAGUGUGCCUUCUUUAUUUUUCUUUCUGGGUAUGAUAUUCUGAUAUCUUGAUGAGGGAGCAAAGGAAAACUAAUCUCACCAAGCCUUUCAAGGUGUUGAAAGGAUUCUUUAGUAUGAGAUGGUUACCAUUCUCACUUACUUUCCAUGCCUUUUCUUUGUCUCUUCGGACCGAACUGCAUUUAGUCUCUACUUUGAUUUGCAGCCUAACCAUGUUAAAGCUGUCUGUAGAUUGUCCCUGCUGUGUUAACAUAGCUAAUUAUUGUGCUGAAGGUUUUUGGUGUGAACUUGAAGCAAGCAGCUUGGUUUAGUGCAGUCCCCUGGGGAACAAUGGCAAUUUCAGGCUACAUUGCUGGGGCAAUUUCAGAUUACUUGAUCAAAGCAGGAUAUUCAUUGACAUUAGUCCGAAAAAUCAUGCAGGUAGCUUUAUUUUCUUUGAAGAUGAUCUAGAUUUUUAUCAGUGCCCAGAUUGAAACUUAAAUACUUCCAAGACUUGAGUGAACUCAGAAAUAAGAGGACUUAGGGAAUGAAUAGACGCCCUAUACUUGAUUAUAAGUCAGCUUCUCUUGUUGAGCGAUUGCAGGCAAAAAAAAAAAACGAAUGAUUGGGUUUUAGUGAAUGUUUAAGGUCUACUGAAAUUUGUUGGAUGGCAUCCAAUGUUAACUUUCUCAUUUUUUUUGGAAAAUUCUUGUUAUUGUAUGUUUUAUAGAUGUUAUCUCCAACAACAUUUUUCUUUGCACUGUCAGUCCAUUGGUUUCAUUGGGCCUGGAGUAUCAUUGCUCUGUUUGAACUUUGCCAAGACACCGGAGGUUGCAGCCGUAUUCAUUACAGCAGCGCUGAGCCUGAGCUCUUUUAGUCAAGCUGGCUUUUUGCUGAAUAUGCAGGUAAACUUGAAUAUGCAUAGUUUGUCAGACUGAAGAAUUGGAAAGUUCAACAGUUGCACUUUAGCGUCAGUUUCUCAGCAUUUAAACUGGCUUUUGUGGUUGUUUUUCUAGGAUAUCGCCCCUCAAUAUGCUGGAUUUCUUCACGGUAUGUCUAUGAAACCACUCCAUUGAUGCCUUGUUCUGAUACAUUACCUCUGACACCACUCCGUUCAUGCCUUAUUCUAAUUCACUUUGUGUAGAUCGAUAAUUUGCUCCUUUCUUGAUGAAAAUUAACAGGGAUAUCAAAUUCUGCUGGAACUCUGGCUGCAAUAAUCAGUACAAUUGGAACAGGAUUCUUCGUGCAGUGGCUGGGAUCUUUCCAAGCAUUUCUAACCGUCACUGCGUGUCUGUACUUUGUUACCACCAUAUUUUGGAAUCUUUAUGCUACUGGCGAGAAAGUCUUCUAGGCAAAGCAGCUCCAGUAUUCAUACUCCAUUAUUCAUAGACUUGCCAAAAUGGUCUGGCGAGCAAAGCAUCAAAACAGAUACAAAGAUUUUUCCCCAGACUUUGUGCUCGAAAAUCAUUUUGCUACACAGAAGAAUUCUAUUCUAUUGCCUCAAUGUCAAUUAUUGUAAGGUCAUACCACAUUAAGUCUUGGAAGAAUGCUGAUAAUUUAUUUUAUUAAUUUUUUUUUUCAGAUUUUGGUAGGUGAGUUGAAAGGGCCUAGGUUGUUUCUAGUGACGUUGUAUUAUAUGUUAGAGAAACUGGACUGCCACCUUGUCAAUAGUAAAUUAAUGAAGAUGUUUAUUCACCCAUUUUCCCUUAAUUGUUGCCCUCUGAUUCCUUUUUUUUUUUUUUUGGUUGAAUCAAUAUUACUAGAUUAUUAUAGACAUUGUGAUGGCUCCUUUCUUGCUGCAUUCGUCUAACUGGCAAGAAUACACUAAGUUUAGCUACCUGACAGAGUUGGCCAGGCAGGUAAUUACACGAGUUUUUGGUUAAAAUAAUCUACUUUUCAAAAAAUAAUCCCAAAGUAAUGCUCUUUCAGUUUUUAUUCCCUUAUUAAUCUAGUUAUUGCCAUGUCGACUCCCCAUCAAAGGAAAAAAAAUAACUUGUAAAUCUUUUGUUUAGAUAUUACACAGUUUUUCUUUAUUUAGUGCCUUAAGGACAUUCUGUAAACAAAUUAAAAAAGGAAAGUGGAUCCAUAAUUAGUGUUUUAAAAUUGUUGAUCACCCUCCAAAUUGCAAUGAUUUUGCCGAAGAACCUUUUUUUUUUGCUGCCAUUAUUCCUCCCUAGCUUUAUUCUUGAUUAUUAUAUCACAAGUUCCUUUCUUUUUUUCUUGUUACUUGCAAUUUUUUAUACGGUAGUCUCCUAACUUUGUAAAUUUUAAGAAGUUUGCAGAAAUUCAAAUUGUUUGAAGUACGAGUAAACAUUUCAAGAUACAUAAUAAUCAUAGUAUACGUGAACUAUAAAAAUUCCACUAUAAGGGGAAAGAAAAUUUGAAAAAAAAAAUUCUCUUGCAUUUUUUGACUUAUCAAAAGAGAAUACAUCCCAAAAAAAUAGGAGAGGGAAAAUAUAACUAGGUCAGUGUUAGUAUCAAAAUUAACACGCUAUAUGAGCCAAUCUAAUGUGAGAAACACUAAUUAACUCAAUAAUAGAUAGAGAAAUAUUUUUAUUUAUCUUUAAGAUUGUACAUAAGUAGCAAAAUUUGAACUAUUGAAAAGUUAUUAAAACUCUAUUGAUGUAGAUUGUACCUCUUAAUAUAAGAUGGAAAUGUUAAUACUUUCCAUACUCAAAGUCCACGUGGCAACAAGUAGGUUAACAAGGGAAUAUAUUUUGAAAGUGCAUUAGUUUGGGAAUAGUUUUAAAGAAUGAGGUUAUUGUUGAAAUUUGCAGUAAGUUCUCAUAUUUGUAUUUGGCUGCUAAGAUGGUCUUUGGGAGCCAAGCUCCAGAAAAAUGGGUAUUAAGUGAAGUAUCGUUCGUGAAAGCCAGCUUAUGAAUUAAUAGUUGGGUUAACAACACUUUGCCCCUCUGAAAGUUGGGGUAAUAAUACCUUUCCCCACUCAAUGAAAAUAAUAGGCACUUUUUCCACUUGAGAUAUUUUGUGUGGUAUUUGUGGCAAGCAUUCCGUCUGCAAAAUAUAGAAAAAUGGACUGCUUAAUAUGUUGACAAUUUUACCCUUAUGCUAUUGAUAAAUAACAAAAAUUUAUAAAGUUAAUUUUAUAUAAUACUAAUAAUAUAUAUACUAUUACAGUUGGAUGUAUGACAUAAACAAAAUUUGAAUUUCAAAUUUAAAUUGAGAUAAGUUAUCAUGCAUCUAAUAGUGAUGGUGUAUACACUGUCAAUAUAUAAAAAAAAUAAUUCAGAUUUAUAAAUGAUAUUUUAUUGAGAAAAUGGAAUGCUUAAAUACGUUUUACUCUUGCGUUAUUGACAAAUAACAUACUCUUAUAUUGUUGAAAAAUAACGAAAAUAUAUAAUGACAUUUAUUGAGGAAUGUCAGUCAUAUAUAGCACCAAAGGUUUUCUUCAAAAACAACAUACAUUUUGGGGUGUUCAAACUUCGAAAAGUCAACCGAUCCAAUUUAGAUUGGAUACCAGUCAAAUGAAAAUCGAUAAAGUCAAUUGAUAUCUAAAUUUAAACCUACUAAUAUAUUUCAUGGAUUAAUGAUGUUAUAAGUUAUAGCUCAUGCUUCCAUAGGAUCAAUUUGACUAAAAAUAAAAUUACAAGAUAAAGGUAGAAUUGUCAAUAGAUUUAAGUAGACUUUUUUUUUUAACAUUUUCAAAUGGAAUACUUGAAACAAAUACCGUGAAAUAUUCUCAAGUGGGUAAAAUGCCUAUUAUUUUCAUUUAGGGGGCAAAGUGUUAUUACCCCUAACUUUUAGGGGGCAAAGUGAUAUUAACCCUUAAUAGUAUUAUAUAAUCUAGGGAUAAUUUCAAGGAGGUUUCUAACAAUUAAAGACAUCUUUCCUAAAGUUUGAAAAAAUUACAGUUAUCUCCAUUGUUGUUAUGAAAAGACCAUGAUAGCCUUUAUAAACUUUACAAAUUUUAAUAGAAAAUGAGUUAAGAGAGAAAAAUAAUUUUUUUUUUUGUAAUAGUUCUGUUGCGCUUGGAUUUUAUCUCAAUAACGGGUGGUGGGAUAAAAUCCAAACCCAAUAACUUCUUUAUCCUAAAACUCUAACAUCAUUUAAUCUAAUACAUUAUACUUCAUUCCCAAUUUCUCUAACCAGUUUUAUUAAUCAAUUUACAAAAAGUGGACCAACCGAUUGGGGAGGCAUUUGUUGAAUAAGUAUUUUAAAAAAUUACUUAACAAGAAAAAAAAGUCCAAAGUACCAAAAAAGAAUACUUUCAAUUCAGGUUUAAAUUUUCCUGUAAAAAACUGAACUUUUUAGCAUUUAAAGAUUCGACAAUUUCCGCAGGACCAAGAGAUGGUGCUGAAUUAGGAGUGUGCAAAAUCGAAAAUUUUCCAUUUAUCGAUCGAAUUCGAAUUGCACUCGGAAUUUUCGAAAUUGGUAAUUCGGAAUUCGGCACUGAAAUCGGAAUUUUCGAUUUCGAAUUAAGCGAAUUUGGUUUGAAUUCGGUAAUGGAGUUUUUGAAAUCAGAAAUUGAAAUUGAAAUUUUCGAUUUCAAUUUCGUUUUAUAAUAUAUACAUAUAUUAAUAUACAUUUAUUUAUAUAUAUAAUAAUUUUUUUAUUUCAUUUUCAUUUUAUAAAUAUAUAUCAUAAUAAUAAUAAUAUUUUUAAUAUAAAAUUUAUAUUAUAUAAUAAUAUAUCUAACAAAAAAGAAAAAAAAGGAAAAAAAGGUUUUUAAAUUCGGUGAAUUCCAAAUUUACCGAAUUUCAAAUUGAAUUCGGAAUCGGAACUAGUGAAUUCGAAUUCGAAAUCUGUCGAUAAUUCCUAUUCCAAAAUUCUGAAAAAUUUCGAGUUCAAACUUUCAAAUUACCGAAUUCGAAUUCACCCAUACACCGUACGUAAGAUAGGAGAGAAACUAAUGAAUCAAAAUCGAGAGUGCAUAUUUAGUCAUAUUGAAAGGAAAGUUUGUCGUUUGUUGAAAAAAAAGAAAGGAAAGUUUGUCAACUAUGCAGAAUUUCACUGCGGGGUGAUCCCAUCUCAAGGAUUUUCUUGAUUACUGGUAAUGUCCAAUAAUGUUGACGGAGGGGUUUGCUGGCCGACAGCACAUAUCCUAUAGUUUUUCACACCGGAGAAAAUGUUCUGAGAAAUACUCCGCGGUAAAAGGGGAAUUAGAAGGGGGGAAAAAAAAAACUACAAGAGAUCAAAACGUCCCAGGAGGUAACAAGAGAAAAGUCAAAUAGAUAGGGUGAAGUGGACAAAUACGGGACAAAUAAGAUAAACGAUAUGCAUAUAAAACAGGAGCGAGCUGGUUGGAGAGUGGAGAGCAAAGAGUGACCAAAGGCCCAGGGGCCAAUCACUUGGAAUUUCUGCUGUGUGGGAGUGUGCGUGCAAUCACACGUCUUUGAAGGAGUGAUAUAAACAAUGUUGAUCCCUGUUGCGGAUGGGAUCGGGAUGAGACUUCAAACCUCCUUUGUUCUCUUCAUAGAUUAUUGCCACUAAAUUCUUUGAGACGAAAUUGAGAGAGCUACCAUCCACCCUUGAAACCCCUAACCUCACCCACCUUUCCUUUCCCAUUUAUAUGUUGAGUAGCUUAAUUUCUCCAACAUCCCAAACAAACAGUCGAACUACUUGUAAUCAGUGGGUGGAAGGAUUCCCUCCCUAGCAUCAUCUUGCCAAAUUCUGUUCUACAAAAUAUCGGUCAAACCCUAUUUGCUCUUCGUCCGUAUCGAUCCAAAAUAUCAUCUUGCAUCCCAGCCCCUAGCCCAAUUUUAGCUGAAUAUCAAAUCAACCUUUUUGGGCAUUUCGGCAACUCCCAAAGCUUCGUUGAUCUUUCACACUGGAAUUGAAUCAAACUUCCAGCUGAGAUUGGAAUUUCCAUUGCAAAACAGUUUUAUCGAGGUACACUGCAGUAAAAGAUACUAUCUGAUUUGGGUCUGUUGUGGGCUUCUUUCCAUCUCUUCCAUCGGAAAGAUCGAUCCUUUUUCCCCCGCAGUUUUGAUCCGGGCUGAUCUCUGACUGCCUUCGAGGUAUGAAUUUCCGAAGCAUGGAGGAGUUUUGGCUGUUUUACAUGAAUCAACACUCGAAACCAGCCACCAGGCGUUGGCAUUUUGUGGGCACACUUUGUAGCAUUAUUUGCUUGAUAUAUUCAAUGCUUUUCAACUGGUGGUUUGUGAUCCUUGUGCCCUUGUUGGGAUAUGGCUUGGCAUGGUAUAGCCAUUUCUUUGUGGAAGGAAAUGUUCCUGCAACAUUUGGGCAUCCCUUUUGGUCCCUUUUAUGUGAUUUCAAGAUGUUUGGAUUGAUGCUCACUGGUCAAAUGGAUAGAGAAAUCAAGAGGCUCGGUAAGAGGCCAGUUCUGCAAGCUUACUAAUCCAUUCCGAUUUUCUAUUUUACUCUUUUCUUCCGGUAUGGUUCACAAAACCGCUUGUAAUUCCCUUUCUCGCGUUCAAUCUAAUCUUAAUUUAGUUCAUUCAGCUGCCGACUUACAACUGAAAUACUCUUGUGUUCGCUAAUUUGCUGCAAUCAAUCUUCCGCCCUUUUGCAAAUUGAUGAAUGUUUUGUGCAAACUCAAUACUACGUUUUCACAUUUGCGGAGGGGGGUCAUAAGCGUUUCUCAAAUUGCAUACACGUUUUAAGGUAUUCAGCUUAGUAGCAGCGAGGAAUGAUUAUGAAUCACUCGUCCUUGAAAGCACUAAAUAUCCCUCGCAAACUGGACAACUGGGGUUCGACCUUUACAUCUUCAAGAGUAUUUCCGUGGUGUCUUUUACUUUUCUAUUCAACGGAGAGACAGAAAAUGUACUCUCUCUUCAGAACAAAAACGAAAAUAUCCAGCGCGCCUUACAUUUCGCCAUUUCUUGCAAAUGUACCGCUAAGUUCAACAAUUAGUAAGGGAACGAGACUAUCCUAGCCCGCGUCUCAGCCAGUCUGCGGGUAUCCGUAUAUCCAAAGAAAUGGAAAGCACGAAGUCCAAGCUGAGACAUACAUGAUGUGAAUGAACAUUCAAUUUCCCAGUAAUUCCUGUUCCUAAGUAAGUAUCAAAAGGGGAGUUACAUUUGGACAUGAAGCUCCAAAGCCUUUAUCCUGCUUUUCUACAGUGAGAUGUAUUUCAGGCUUGAUUCAGGUGACCUCCCUAACAUACUAAUAUGGUCUCGGCUCCAUGAUAUUACAUCUGUGGCGAACUUUGGAUAAAUAUCACAUUUCAAGAGUCUUGUGUCCGGCUGUAUUAGCAAAAUUGUCUAUCAUCCACUAUCAAAAGUAGCUUAACAUCACAAGUCGGUGUUCCGUGAAAAUGAUGGCAGUGGCAUUCCCUCCUGUGGACGGAGAAUGACAAUGACACCAAACAUCCCAAGCAUUGGAAGGACUAGAAGCCAUUUCAACAACUUGUAAUAGUGCAUAUGGAAUGUCAGGGCGAAGUCAUCAGAAAAAUAGAGCCCAUUCUUGUCAACCAUUUCCACCACAACCAUCCCAGAGGUCCUCACCCCUACAGUUGGAAGCUUUAUCCUAUGAACUCCAGCACGAUCAAAGACAUGGUUUUGCUUAAUCGUCCUUUCCCCUUGGUAAUUACCAGGAACCAACAAGCUUACCUGUUCAGAUGUGUGUGAGACAAAGACAGUACAUAAUGGAUAAUAAUGCAAAGUAAAUUUCAUGGACCUUUUAUGUUAGAUGCUUUAGAAUAUGAAUGCAAAGUAAAUUUCGUGGACCUUUUGUGUUAGAUGCUUUAGAAUAUGAGACGGAAGAAGCCACUCACCGUAACAUUGUAAGGACCUUGAUAUCCAGAUGGAAUCCUGUACCCAUCCACAAUCUCCAUCUCGACCCAGAAACUCUUACCUUCUUCAUCUCGGAAAGCCCUCGAUGAUGGAGUAACGUGGAUUCCCUCGCGAUUGGGACGGUAUGCAACAUUGUUCCUCCCCUGAUUAUGUGAUCUCCAAGCCUAGGAAUGCACAAGAGCAACUCAGAUCAAUUGAGUGCAAGGACAGAUGGCAAGAAGCAAGCAACAAAAUAUUUCGAAUGUAUCCAACCUUGAGAGGAUGAUGGGGAGCAGGAGUUGAGAAGCAGAAGACAUUUCCAUUCAUUGUUGUGACUAUAAGAUCCAAAUCAUCUCCACCAUCCACAUUAUCAGCCAAGACCAUGCUAUAUCUGUUCCCCAAAAUGGACCAAAAAGAACCAGAAAAUGCAAAAGUUUAGUAAAUUACGAAGAAAGAAGUUUGAAGGCCUCAAGGAAUGUGGUUGUCUUACGAAGUUUCACCAAUAUCCACCACAUCCGCACAUGAUGUCGGUCCAUCAAUAAGAUACAUAUAUCCAUCAAAUGAAGUUGUAACAAUAGUAAGCCCCUUCUUCUUUUCCCCUCUUUUGCUCAAGUCAACCAGAAGUACCUGAUUCAUCACUCUACCAUGAGUUCUAUAUGGAUAUGGCCUUACAAAAGAUCCAUCCUUGCCACUCAGCACAUAUAUAUUCCCAGAUAACGUCGGAACAACAACAUCUGUAUGGCCAUCCCCAUCCACAUCACCCACACUCGCUCCCUGAUUGAAAGGCAAUCUUUCAGCAUGUCAUUGAACUAUUAAAAUAUAUUUGAAUCUCAUUAAGCUGAAGACAUUGCAAAACAAACUGAACCUUACCUGUGGAACAAGGCUCUUAAGAUGUUGUUCCCAUAUUUCUUUUCCCUGAGUAGUCCAUGCAGCCACAUUCCCAUGUGUAUCAGUAGUAACAAUUUCAAUCUUUCCAUCAUCAUUAAUAUCAGCAGCAAUGACUGCUCCUUGUAUUUCAGCCAUUUCCACAGGAAACUUCACCCUCAUUUCGCCUGAGUACAAACUAAUCAAUUACAAAGCAACACAACAAGAAUAAUAACAAAUGGUUUUCUCUUCUCUCUCAUUCCCCCUCUGAUAUGCCAUCCAAGCAUAUACCAAAAAACAUUUACAAGAAUAAAGAAUAAGACAAAUGAUCAUCAAACAUGUAGACAGCAUGUCCCCCCAUCAAAACACACACACUCUCUCUCUCUCUAGGACAUUUUUAGCAGCCCUAAUUCUCUCUCAUAUUAGACAACCGGAGCCAAAGCAUCUAAUUCAUUUUCUUCAGGUAACCAACUGGAGAGCAAGCAUAUGCAAGCAUAAAACAUGUCGAAUUUUGCCAAAAAGUCGUAUGUUUGCCGGAUAACAAUGAUGACAAAAAGAAGACACGAAAGAGGAAUAAAUACCCACAGAGCUUCUUUCCUUUUCUGAUGUUGGGAUCAAAGAACAAGGUAAAGGACACAGGCCAGGAGGGAGAAAGAAGAAUUUAUGAGUGAAAAAAGAAGAAAGUUUUAGGGCAUAAGGAGGAAACUGUAUCAAGAGCCACUCAGAAGUUCCAUAUUUGUUUAUAUUUAACUUUAUGUAUACAGAAGUCAAUCACAAUAUCUUUAUCUUUCAGGAGGUUCCAUUAGCUUCUUUCAGUCAAUAAGUGUUGGACAGACAAUAACCAACGACACACAAAACCAAUUUAUGUACAUGAAAUCAACGUGAAACCCAACCAUCAAUGACUAAAAUGGAAAAACCAAUUAAGCAAGGGACGUGCAUGACAGAUAUACAACUGUUAAACAACUAUAGGUUUUAAGAGAAAAAGAAUCCAAGAAUUACCCUUGUGAUCAAAUACAUACAACAAUCCAUAAGAAGUUCCAACAAGAAUGUCCAAAUUCCCAUCACCAUCCAAAUCAACUACAGUUGGAGAAGAAUAUAUAUAGGCACGAAACUUUCCAUUCUCUGUACUUAGGUCCAGUUGUGUACUCCAUUUGACCUGCUUUGUGUCUAGAUUGAAAACAACAAUACCACCAGCAACAUAUUUACCAAUGUCAAUGCCACCAAGGUCCUUUGAAUGCUCUGGGUUGUCAUAAUACCUGACAUCUUAAAAACAUCAGCUGAAACUCAUGCAGCCAAUAUCCACGUUUUCCAAGUCAAAAAUAAAGCAACGUGCAAAGGGCUAGUCAUGAGCAAACACAUGUUGAAAAUUUCCUAGAAAUUGAAGAGAAAGAGAGCAAGAUGCCUGGAACAAGUUUGCUUAGACAGAGAAAGAAACAGAGGUGCCACUAAAUCAUGCAUGAUAAAGCACAUUCCAAUGUUCUAAAUUUCCUAGAAGGCUAGAUGUAGUAAAAGUAUGACAUCUAAGCGAUAAAAUUCUUAGCAAAUUGAGCAAUAAAAUACACUUACAGCAAACGUUUGAAAGUUAAAUUCGACAAGAAAAUGAAUACAGCAGUAUACUAUUGAAAAUUUAAUUAGCUGGAGGGACUUUAAUGAAAAAAUAUACACACACACACAUGCACACAAACAUACAUGGUGUUAUACGUACAGAAACUUACUCACGGUCAAAGAAGUAGGAAACUGCAACAACCAUCUCUGAGGUCCCAUCAUUAUCAAUAUCUGCAAUAACCUGAUUGGCAAGAGCAAAGUUCAAUUUCAGACUAAAAUCUGCCUCAUCAUAUGGGAAGAAGCUUUGGUGCUACCAGACUUACAGGAGUGCACAAAACAUGUGCAUCAAUAUGCACAUAAUUUUCUAACAUUUCAUGCUGAGCUUCAGUCCACUCCUCUUCUCCCCACAGAUUUCCAUCAACAUAAUCAUCAUAAUCAUAAUUAUAUUCAUCAGCCAGCUCAUCGCUAUCUCGGAACAAUUCAAAUGAUGAAUCGGCUUCUGCCUCCAAACCUCCAUUAUUUUCCACUGUAGCCUCGUGGACUCCCUCAUUGGUUUUUGCUUCAGAUCCAGAGACACUCUCCCCGGAGCCUUUUGAGACAUUAUCUUCCAGUAGCCUUCUGCUAGUCUUUGAAGCAUUUUCACCGUCGCUAACUUUCUUGAAUCCAGAACCCAAUGAAGUCUCAAUCGAAUUAUUUAGCAUUUGAACAUGUGGAUCUGUUUGGCUAUCAUUGCUUUGCUUUUGAUUUGGUGUAUCAGAUAAGUUUAUUUUAUCAAGUUGAACUUCUGCGACUGUAGAUUUUGUAGAGUUUAAUUCUUCAAUGUGAGCUUCUGAUGUAGUAGGGUUUGAAGUGUUUGCCCUGACUGAACUUCCAUUAUGCUCUACAAGGAUAUAUGGAAUUUAGUAUGAACUUUGUGGUUCAAAGAAGAAUAAAAGUCAAAACACUUUAGGCAGGGGAACCAAUCAGAAUUACCCAAAACAUGGUCAGCCAUGUACUGAUAUCAGGGAAAAAAGAAAAAAAACCAAAUGUCAACAAUUUCAAAAGAUGAACAUGACUGUUCAAACAUCUAAUGUUAAGAGUUGUGAGAAGAUGUGUGGAGGAAAUAGAAUGAGGCAAAAGAAUAAGCACAUGCAGGUUAAUGAAUAGGAAGAUGAUAAUGCAUUUACAAGCAUUCUAACCCACAUAUUGGCAUCCAUCAGCUGGUAAGCAUAAUAGAGAUUAUCCCAAAGAAUUGGUAGCGCAUACAAGAAGUCUGCCAAUCAGACCUCCUUUUGAAUCAUCCAAGGGAACAAAAAGGUCCCAUGCAGAAGAAAAAGGUGAAUAAAAAAAUCAUAAAAAAAAGCACCACCAUCACAAGCAUUACAAACUACUUUCAGAAAAGAAAGUGAUGUACGAGUUAUUGAUUCCAUAAGCGCCUCCUGGAUCAAUAGGUCAUCAUGAACAUUUGGAUGAGAACGGUCCACUGGGUCUUCAUGCAAACCCACAUACCAAUCCUUUUUAACUUUCAAUCUAGGAAUCUCUAGCUUGUCUGACAUCAUGUAGCCAGAAACCCUGUUUUAUUUUCCACAUUAAAGCAGUAAGCCCAAGGCACUUCAUUUAUAGGUGCAAUAAAAGAACCAUGACAGAUAACAGAUUUACCUGAAAAAGAGCACCUCACCAUUGUAGGUGGCCAACCCUAUUUCUCUCACACCAUCCUUAUCAAUAUCAUAUAAAAAAGGACUGGAAUGAACAGUUGACUGGUGGAAAGCAGGCCAUCCUGGAGAAUUAGUCUGAGCAAGUUAUUAAAUUCAACACAGAAACAUUCUGGCCAAUAUAGCAACACAACCAACUAAAUUUCAAAAGCACAAAUAAAAGUGUACCUGGCAUUUUAUCUCCAUCAGAACCUUCUAGGACUUCUAAGAAGUGAACAAAUGAAGGAACAACAACAUCAAGCUUUCCAUCACUGGAACAUAAAAAUAGAAAUCAAACUCAGCAUUCAAAAUAAACAGGUUCUGCUCGCUUACAAAUAUCAUGGAUUCCCACAAACUUUCUUCAAAUCUUAUUCAUAAUGGCAUAGACUAAUCAGAAGUCCCUUUUUCCAACAGAUUCAGUUUCCCUACUCAAUAUUCAUAAUACAUCUUUUUACUUUCUUGUCAUUGACUCAUGAUAUCUUCUUAUGAGUAGAUGAUAGCCCGUCAAUAGCCAACCUCCCAAUUAGCUUCUUAAAGUUGUGCUUUUGAAGAUGGCAAAAUAAGAAAAAUAUGGACACAUAGCAAGCACUUUACUGAAAACAAAUUUUAUUGAAGCUAAAAUCAAAUUCCUUUUGGAGACAACAAGCUGCUUCCAUUCUUUUACCUGUUGAUAUCAGCAAUCAAUGGUGUGGCAUAUAUACUGGAGCUGACUUCCGUUUGCCAUCUUAGCUCCAAAUGCUGAGGGCACUGCGUAUUCAACAGCUCACUCUCAUCCCUAAACAUGACCAGACCAUGAAAUGGAAACUAUUUAAGCUGCCAAAGUUCUCAAAAACCAGGUUUUUACAACGUCAUUUCCCCACCAUACAGCAACAUAUCUUCCAUCAACAAAUUCAAUGAAAAACCAUCCUGUGAACUUUAAUAUCCAAAUUCAACAAUCCGGAGCACACAUACUGUCUGUUUCCCCAGAUAAACAUCACAAUGUAACUAGUAUCCAAGAAAGUGCCAGGCAAAUCGAGCAAAUGACAAGAAGCACCCGACGAUGAAUUAUCGGAGUCCACACAAGUCUUAAAAAAAAAAGGUGAAUAGAGUAAAAGAGGUGGACUUACAAAUUGGGAUAAGCAACGGCAUCGUCAGUAGCCUCUCGCUCUCGAAACUUGUUCUUCUUUGUUUCUUCCGAUCGCAGACCAGCAAAAUAGCAAUUAAAGAGCACAAGGUAACAUAAAAAUAAUAAAACCCUAAUCUUCAUGUCAGAAUCGCUUCGUUAAGUUGAAACUCUUCGAUUUUAAAACAAUUCACAGAUACAUUGACUUAUAACACGGCCUUCAAUCUCCAAGAAAAGAAACAAAGAUAUAUGUUACCAAGCAUCAAAACCAUAAACGAUGUGGUCGAAACCUAAAGCGAUCAAUCGCUUGAUUUUUAAAUAAGUGGCUUCAAUAAUUCGGGGGCAGUGCGAUCGGGCGGAGUGUCAGGCAAGAUAGAGCGAUGCCGAUUUGGACUUACAUUACACGAGUCCAACGUUGACUGGCUUCUUCUCCGGUCACUUUUCACUCAGAGCUUCAGCUCCCUGAUAAUUCUAGAAUAUAUUAUUCAUAUUUCGGAAUUUUGGGCCAUUUGACUCGUACGGUAGCGCGGAGUUUUUACUUGGGCUUUUUCAGGCCCAAAUUUUGGCCGAAUCCUUUCAGUUUUAGCUUUUCAUUGUGCGUUUAUUUAGGGGUAAAAUACACUAAACCCCCUUGUGGUUUAGGUUAUUGUCAUAAAACCUCCUCAUACAUUGAACCUCCUUACACUAUGGACUAAUCUGGAAUUUGGAUGAAAAACAUCCAAAUUAAUGGAGAGUGAGUCACACUCGCCUAAUACGUGAGUAAAAUUGAUCACGUUGAUUUUUCUGUGUAAAAACUGAUUUCUUCUUCCAAUUAUACACUCCUUCUUUUGCUUUUUUUUUUUUUUCACUUUCUUUUGCUUUCCUUCCUCCUCUCGCAAUCAAAAUAGAGACAGUAGAUGCACCAAAACAUCAACUCCCCUCACAACCACGAUCACUGCGACCACUCUUUCUUCUUCUUAUAUUUAUCUUUUGUUGCAGCACCAGAGGAUUCUUAAGAAUGUUCAUGUCAAACUUUGGCUUCUUUUCCAAUAGAACUCUCCUUACAGCAACACCUUUAAUCUCUUAAGUAAUUGCCCUUAACCCAUUCUUUGGUAACCAGAUUUGAUGCCAUCACCAUUGCCAUCGUGGUCACCAACUAAUACGUAAGGCGGGCAGAAAUCCAAAUGGAUUUGAGAUAUGAAUCAAGGUAGCCUCACAAAUUUUCCUUUAAUCCAUGCAAAUAUCUGACUUUUUGUGUGUAAUUGGUGUCAUAUAACCAUUUUACUAGUCCAAAGGAUUGUUUUUAUAUAGUAAUUUGUUGGUUUUGCUUUAUUUUAGGGCUGAAAUUUAUAGUUUUGCCUAUCAUUGUUCAUGCCUAUGUUUGUUAUUCUUUGCUUGUUUUUGGUCAAAUUUGAUAUCAUAAUCAUGAUAUACGCUGAAAUUGGAUUUGAGGGUGUAAUUUUUGUUAAAUUCCACACUGGUGGUAGCUACUGGCAGCUUUGCUCCUACUGUCGCUGCCGCAAGAUCUGUAAAUGAUAAUAAGAGGCCGGGAAGAAGAGAAACUUUGAAAAUUUUCACCUUGACUCAUAAAGUCUGUUUGUAAACCCACAAAGACGAUGAUGGAUGUGGAGGUAGCGGUAGAAAAAUAAUGAAAGCUACUUUAUCGCCGGAGAAGAUGAAGAAUGUUUUGAAAUUUUAGUUUGGCCCCUUAAUUUUUUCCUUAGACAAUUCAAGAUUCAUGAAUUUAGAUGAAAUUUGAGACCCAAUGGUGCUGAAGAUGAUGAUAAAGGUAAUGACCACAACAGUCAUAGUGACGGCGACAAUUGCAAUGAUGGCAAGGUGACAAUUGCUAGAUUGAAGAAAGGAAGAAAAGGAGAAAAAAAUGGUAGGGAAAGGAAAACAGAAAAAGGAAAAAAAAAAGAUAAAAAAGAAAGGAGAUGGGUUCUGAAAUCUGAACAUUGUCCAGUUGGAGAAGACAACAAACUUUUAGAAUUUGUUGAAUUAACCCCUGAAUUUUACUUUUUUUUAAAAUGAAGCAAGAAAGGUUUUAAAAUCUUAAGUAAAACUCGAACUAACUUUUGGUAUAAUUUGAAAACAAGGUUAAUAUAGGAAUUUUAUAUUAUUCCGUCAAAUUGGAUGAUUUCCGUUUGUUGGCCAAAUUAGUCCAAAUCAUGAGGUGAUUCUUUGAGAGUUUUUAAACAAUGAGAAGGGUUUAUGACAAUAACCCAAACCACAAAGGAGUUUAGUGUAUUCUACCCUUUAUUUAGAAAAAUUUUCAUGCACUUCCCUCCUCCUCCUUACCCUGUAUAACUUUUGGCUCCCCAUUCCCCACACAUGCAAUAUGAGAAAUCAAUUGUUCUAAAAAAAACACAUGAAAUGCUUUGGGCCCCCGGAUCACGAGAAGAGACGUGAUUUAUCUUUUAAUCAUCCAAGACAACAUAUGAGUAACGAAAACUGAAAAUUCACCCCCCGGUUGCAUAGGAAUGCACCACAUGAUUUUAAGGGCAGUUGCCCCAUGCCAUAAUUGUACGUGUUUUUGUUCAUUAAUAUCAGUGACAAAUAUCUUUCCUGAAAAACAAAAAAUUUCUGAACAUUCACCCUUAGGAAACUUUAAAAAAAAAAAACAUUUUUUUUCUUAAGUCCAAAACCCUUUCUUACUGAAGGGCAGAGAAGGAAGGGAUAUCCAGGCUCCAAGUAGUCAUUUUUUAGCUCAGAAUCAUCCUAUAAGCAGAUUCACAAAGCCAAUCAGAUGGCCAGGACCCUUGCUUAGAUUAAGAGUGACGACAUGACGAAUUAGCAAAGUGAAGUCCAGGAUCGGUUCAACGAUCACAUACCAAAUUGAAAAGAACCAAGUAAAUACUUACUAAUAAAGGCCUGGACCUACACCCAGAUGUUAUACACAUGCAUGCAUCCAGCUGCCAUCAAAUGCAGUUCCACGAGAAGACGGCUCACAGUGGCUCAGAAAUCUACUCCUCAAUUAUAGUAAUUAAUAUUGAACAAUAUUCACAAGACAGCGAUGUUCGAAAACUGCAAUACUAAAGCUGAAAAGGGCUACUUCUGGAGAGAUUAUAAUUAUAAAGACUACACAAAGAAAACCUAUAAUGAUGACUAAUAUACAUGGCAUCCUACCGCCUAAUUCCUUCCGGCCAGAAAACUUUCAGAAACAAGAACCAGCUGUCCGAAGCUGACGGCCAUAAUAUGUAGCAUGUAGCAACUGGAUCCAAAUAACCAGUGAUGCACAGUAUGAGGUUCUUCCAGUCAAAGAUCUCAAUAUCCCUUUUGGCUAGUAUACUCCUAUGAUAACUUGGGCAACUCAAGAGGCAGAGAGAUCAUUUUGCAGGCAAGGAAGAAAAGAAAAUUCAAGGCUCAGAUUUGUCCUAUGACUAACUUCCUCAGGUAAUGUACUCCACUAACUCAAUAACAGCAACAUCCAUCACCUACGCCGCACAGAAUUCGAGUGGUAGUGAGGCUUGCUGUCUCUCUGGAUCCGAUCAGCAUACAUUGGCAACUGAAUGGUCUCAUGAAUCUCAUCCAAUAAGAUCUCCUCAGUGAUAUUAUCCCUUAUACUUCUCAUAACCUGUUGUUAAUGCACAUAUUCCAUUAUUUACUUUAACCAAAAUAUGUAGCUAAAAGGGCAUGACACUCUUCAGAAACCAAAUUACAACCCUCCAAAAGUGUUGAUAGUGAGCAAGGAAAAUACCUUCUUAUAGGUGUUGAAGUCGUUUGGAGUUCCUUUAUCAGUCCUGAUCCGCAUACAUACCCACACCUUUUCUUCAGCUUUCCAAGAGCACUCAAUAAUCUUCCCCGAGAAUGAUAACGGCUCAGAGCCAUCUGUUAUUCCAGAAACAAUGAACAAAGGAUACUGCAGGACUAGUAGUAGUUCAAUAAAUAAAGUUACAUCACAAUACUAGCAGAUGCCAUACAACCCAAAAAAAAAAAAUACUGUCUGGAUAGUUAUCAUCCACCCCACAAAAAUCUGCUAAAUCCUAACAUUUUACUAGCACAUCAAGCUCAGCUAUUGUAACAUCCAAAGCUCGGUUAAUCUCAGCUUGUUCAUGACACCCUAUAUCACCACAAACGAGAAAACUGGGGGUGGAAGUGGGGAGGGAAAUGCAGCACAUACGAAAACACAUUCACAUACAUAAUGGGGCGGACAGAAGAAAGAUCAUGAAAAAAAUUAGCAAACACAGACCAUCAAAUACAACCACAUUCCCUUCCAUCAGCUUUUUCUUCCCUUUUUCAUGAAGAUAAAGAAGCUGGCGAUUAUCAACCACCUGUUCAGAUCGAUACCGGUCAGUAAUAUAAUCAGCGUAUUGAAUCCAAAUGCACUUCUACAAAUAAGAUCAAAGCAAAUAAAAAAUAUCAUAGAUAUUCAAACAAACUCAAUUCAUUUAAGGGCAAGUACAAAUUAACUACAGAUCAGAAAUAAAGAAAAUACUACCUCAAAAAGGAAAUCCACCGAAUUCAUACUUGCAUAUUUCCAUUUCAAGAGUCCCUCGUGUGUGCGAGGAACAUAAGGGUCAUCCCAACCCUGGCAUAAAGAAAAGAAUAAAUCAAUUGCCAAAAAAAUUUUAACAAGCUAAGAUUUGUAAUAACAUCCAGAAAAAGGUAAAUGUGAAAGUAAAAGCCGAAUGAAUAUGUAGCUUAGAAUCAAUAAGUAACCAAAUUGCACAAAUAAAUUCUCAAAGCAUGUCAAUCACUUAAUAUCAUAAGCUUCCUACCCUGGUGCAAUGUUCAUUAUCAGGCAUGCAAAACUAAAACACCUUCAUCACCAAAAGGGAGAAAACGAGUGAAUUUUUUCGAGUAUAGGUGAGUCAGCAAACAACUUUAUGAAGGUUUAAACAUAUAUAAAUCAAUCAAAUCAGAUUUCAUCAAAGGGGAUAUAUAAUACCAUAUGAGAGCCUAUAUUUGAGCACCUGAAAGAUAAGACCAUCAGCUGCAUGAGAAAGCCUGGGGAUGAAUUCCUUCAGAAGUUUAGUUACAGUAGAAAGCAGCCAAAAAUCCUUUCUCCUCACCUAAUUAAGUUUGGUCAAUCAGCCAUCAGUUCCAAGAAGGAAAACAAAGUGUUGGGAAUUCAUACACAAGUAAUUGAGCUGUAAAGAAGACAUACCCUGAAUGGUUCAAGUUCAUAUCUAUAAUAGGGGUUCCUACUCUGAUAAAUGUGCUGACGCUCAUAGUUCCUCGGUUCAAUUAUUUCUUUCUCAAGCAUUUUCCAACGCUCAUAAAAGGGUCGCUGCAAUCAAUUGAAGGACCAGAUGUCGACAUUAAAGCACCCAAGCAGAGUCAGAAUCCAAAAUAACGAGAAAAGAAGGUCAUGACACAUUAAAAUCACUAAUCCUAAAUAAAACCACAUCCACUUCAACUAAAAGAAAACUAACAUAACUACUUAAUUCAACUGUAGAACCACUCAUUCAUGUUUCUUAUAUUGUAUUAUAUUUCCUUUUCUUUUAAAAAAAAAAAGCCUUCUUAAAUUAAGUAUCAUUACUCAAAAACAGAAGAUGAAAGGAAUAAGAAAAGGGAAAACCAAACAGUGUCGUAUAUACUUCUAAAAAGAUCUUGCACUUUAUUUAUCUGCCCUGGAAAUUUGCUUAUGCAUGAACAUCAAUGUAAGACAAGUAUAAACCAAAUUGAUAUAAUGAGUAGAAUACAAGCUUCAUCAGCAGAUACGAUAAAAAAUUAAAACUUAGCAACCUAAGUAGCAGAAGAAAUUUUGUUCAUCAUGAAAUGAUAUUGAGGGCAUACAGCAACGUAGUUCAUCAGACUAAAUAGAUAAGGUAUUAGUUCAUAAUUAAGUAUUAAAAACAACAAUGUCGCUUUAUAACAGAUAGCAGAGUGCUAAAGAAGUUGCAAAAAUGUUCUAACAUGCAACGUUUUCCACCAGUCAAAUAAAUUUUAAGCAUACAUCCACUCAACCGUAUACCAAUUGCAGGAAUGUCAACACAAAUACACCUAAUUCAAUAGCUUUUAAUACAAAGUAAACAAUAAGCACAAGUUUCAGCAAGGAUUUUGGGCCCAUUGGCAAGUUCUUUUAAAUAUUAUACCUCUAUAAGAGAAACUGAAUUAAUUGCCAUCAUAUCAUAUAUCAGGUAUCGUCUUUCCUGCUUCUGAGAAUCCGGCAUUGUAUCAAUUAUCAUUUCCCCAUCAAGUAACGUGAAGUGGUGGGUCUUCUCAGCUAUACCCUGGUAAAAACAUGAUAUUAAAGUUAGAUAUACCAGAAACCUAUUGUAACGUAAUUCAAAGCAGAUAGUAUAAGCAAAUUUGACUAAUCGAAAUUUAUACUUCAUUUGUAUGUCUGCAAGGAAAUCUCAUCUGGACCCUCCGGAACUGAAAGUGCCUAUCAAUUAAGUAGCACCCAUCCAUUGUAAUCAGCAUCAUAUAUCGAGUCCCAUCAGCUUUCCAUGUAGCAUAAUAGUAACGUUGCCUAAGCAGUUUUACAUUCUCACUGCACGUCCAAAGGCAGUAAGAUUACUGUUACAGGAGCACAAUUCAGUGAAACUGCAGAAUACAUUGGGAAAGGAUGUAGUCCCUGUUGCUAAAGUAAUCCGCAUGUUCAUUAAACUUUCAAAUCAUUUCCAUCACUUAUAAAUCAUCAAUUAUCCAAAAAAAAACCGCUAAGCAUCAUACAGGUAAUGUGGUUGACAAGCAUCAUACGGGUAAUGUGGUUGAUAAAACAUUCAGAAAACCUGUAAAAACUGGCAAUACAGUGCACCAAAUAGAAAAGGUAGAUUAAUCUUUUGUACUACAUUUUUCAGUCCUUCCUCAUCUUUGGUGCUGUUGAAUGCUGCAUUUGAUACUUGCCAACUUUAAAUUUACUUUUAUUUUCGAAAGGCUGGAUAUAAGGAACUUGGACUAAAUUUAUUGCUCUUACAAGGGGUUGCUUUAAGGAACAUGGAGUGACUUUGAUUUACAAAUCCCAACAAGGCAUGUGGGGUGAAAUUCAGAGAGUGGUUGAUUUUCUGUCAUCUCUCUCUAAAAUCAAUCAUCUGAAUAAGACAUCUUUAGGAAACCAUGCUACAUUUUCCAAAAUAUCAAAAAAACUUAUUUGAACUUCAUCCAUCCAAGUUCAAACCUACAACAUAAAUGCCAUUAAAUUAUUCAAAAUUGACAAAUCAUAAACAAUUAAGGUCACUCAAUUUCCAUAAAUGAGAAAGAAUUCGAAUCGGACCUGUUGAGAGAAACUGGAUGUGACCCUGGAAACUGUGACAACCCUUUUACCUGCACAUUGGGAAGAUAAAAAGUUCAAUUAUAAGACGAGCAAUCUGCAGAAUGUGACGCGACAGCAGAGUAUAAAACUGAUUGCUAGUCAAAAAGUCACAAAAAAAAUCUAAUAAAUGCCAAAUAAAAUUUUUUAAAAAAAGCCAGUAGUACAGGAAAUUAUUGUCUAAAUGCAUUAUCAAAAUGGACCAAACCAUGGAAUUCCUUCUACUGCAUCACAUACAAAGAGACAGAAGGUGGCAUGCAAAUAUCAAAAAAAUCAGAUAGGACAGAAAGUCAGAGUUUGCUGGAUUACAAGUUUUAGCUAAAUGUACAAGUGUACACAGAAAAAUUUCUCCACCAAUUAAGGAUCCAACAGAUUUAAUUUACAAGAUUUCUUUCCAUUAAAAAGAACAUACAAUGCAUUCAAAAGACAUACAAUACAGAUAAUUGAUCCAUACCCCUACUGAUAACUUAAGUGACUGGUAAACGAACUGCCUCAGUGCUUCUUGCUGUUCGGAGGGGAUAGCAUCUCCUAAAAUGUCAUCAUUUGUCAUCACUACAUCUGUUUCCUGAGUAGCCUGAGAAAUUCAAAACCAAUAUUCAUGCUCCAGCAAAAAAUAGUAGUAAGCGGAACCAAUGCUAAAGUUUCAGCAGCUUAAUGGUAAGCUUUACAGACCAUUCAAAGUAGAUUAGGCACAUGCAUAAAAGCAGUAAACUACGAAUAAGCCAAGAGCACUACUCAUUAGCAUCACUACAGAUUUUGCUACUGCUGAGAAUUAGCAGCCCUUCAUACCAAACAAGUAAAUAAAACAAGGCAGGAGCAAGGGAAAGACGUACAAUAGGCAGAGCAGCAGAAGUUCCAUCAUCAUCAUCAUCUGGCAUGGCAUCACCAUUUAGAUCAAAUUCAGUGGAUUUUUUCCAUUCUGGAGUUCCGGGGCAGACGACCAUAUCGGGUUUCUUUUCAUGAUAAAAGGUGUACAAUGCAUCAAUAUAAUCAGGCUUGUAUAUUCCUGGUGGGCGCGAAUCAGCAAAUAUUUUGACUGCCUGCAUCCAGGUGAAGCCAAAUAUUUCUGAAAAAUGUACUAAUUAACUGAGGAUGGGAAACAAGUUGAGAGAGAUGACCAACCUGAGUGACGGAUAUAGGCAAAGUACGCAUGAGAUAGUGAAUGAUCAUAUACCCAGUUCGAUUAUGUCCAUGAGUGCAAUGCACCAAAAUAUAUUUCUUUGAGUGCUUCUGGCGAGCAAGGAAUAGUGAGACCUAAUAAAUACAGUUAAGCAAACCAUUGUUGUAAUGAACAGUCAGAAAGUUGCUCACAAUAGUAUAUCAUAAAUCCGCAAGAUAUCAUUCACAAAGGAUUAGGAUGAAUUAAAACCAAGCUCGUAACUCCUAAGAAGAAAGUAUAAUGACCAAAUGCAGCUACUCAUCCGUAACACUGGGAAUUAAAAAUAAAUGCACCAUGCCUUCUGUCAUGCGUCACGGAACAUAAACCAGGAAUCUCUUGCUCCUAACUUAACUUUCUGAGUCGCGCUACCUUUCAUUUUUCCAUCUCUAUAUCCAACCCAAAUUUGACACAUUGGCACCAAAUAUAAGAAAAACCUACCUCAUAAACAAAUUGAUUAACGGCCUCAUUUUCAGGUACAGAAUCGCGCCCCUUGCAAGAAAUCUAAAUCAAAAACAACAUUUGAAAGUUAAGGUCUUAUCCCAAUAGAAAAACUGCAAAAAGAGCAAUUGAAUUACUAGAAAAACGAUCCCCACCUUAACAUGUUUUAUACCAUCUUUCUUCAAAUCUUGCAAUGGAUAGUACCGAUAUGUAUUUGUCAAAUCAAUCACCAAGCCAAGCUGAAAACAUUCAGUAAAAGUUCAAAUGGUGCAAUUAUGCUAGCAAUCAGAAUCAUAAGUUCAACAUGGAGUUUAACUGAUCAUGAAGUGCAAACACUCAUAUUAGAUAAAAGCUAGGCAUUCCUCUAUCUUCAGCAACUGAUAUUAAUGGCAUGCUAUUCUUUAAAUGUAAACAUGCUGUUUCUUAUGACUCAUCUAACCAUUAAAUAAAGAGUGUUGGAGAUUUACAGGAAAUAGAAUAUUUUGCAGUAACAAUUACAUAUUCUAUGUAAAAAUUUUAAGAUAUUCUAAAGAAAACAUGACAGCUCCUAAAACCAACAAGAAUGUAAUGGAAGAGAUUUAACUCCAAUGCUUCUACCUUUCUGCCUAACACUCUUUGCUGAUGUAGCACUUGUCUGAAUGAGUAUCUUUUGCCAGGAAUAAUAGCAUCAUUGAAGGAUUCACCCAAUGGAACUUUAGAAGGUAUUAUGCAACCUAUCUCUUGACCAAAAGCUGGACAGUCCAGCCAACCUACAAUGUCACGAGCCAAAGUGAAUAGCAUCAAGAUGCAUCACAUUGACCAAACGGAUCAAAGGAUUUAGAAACAAUAUUGUCUGUCAGAACUCAGAACUUAAAAUAUGAAAAGGAAAUCUGCAGAAAAAGAAUUUCUUUACAGUCCAUCCAGCAUAAGAUUAAAACUACAUACUCCUCCAUAGAAUUUAAAAACUUAGUUUCUUGAAACAAAAAUGGAUAAUAAAAUAGUUUAGCAGCCAAAUUCCUUUCCAUUUCUUUCAGAUGAAUAAGAAGCAAUCAAAUUUCUCUCCAUGCCAUACUUUCAAUGUUUCAGCAACAGGUAAAAGGUGUCAGCAAACACACAACGUAGAAAGAAACAGAUGAAAUUUUAGGACCACGGACUGCAGUAAGAAAGAUGCCUUCGUGGAUACCUGGUGGAAGCUUAUUGUGAGUUUUCUGUCUUUUCGUUUGAAACAUAUCAUCCUGACUAUAUGGUUGUUGUACAUAUUGGGGUCGAUCAUCCAUCCGUUGACUUCUCAUCUUUUGAAUCCUUUGCUCACGUUCCUAGUGCCACAAAAUACAAACAAAGUAAUUAUAUCAAGCCUUUUAAUUGACCGUGCAUAUUAGGUAAACAAAUUCAUAACUGCUUGUACACCAUAAGAUUCAGCUGACCCCUACCCAAAACCCAAAAAUCCCUUUCUGAGCCAUGCAAAAGAGCACAUUUUAUCUUUUGAUGUACAGUCCUUGCCAUGAAAACCUUGUUGAAAGAGGUGGAAAGCAUGGGGAGUCGGAAAAGGACAUUAAAUACUCUCCCAUGGAGUACCCAAUCAAAACUUAAAAGCCUAGAGUCACCAUACCAAUCCAACCAAAAAAAAAGGCAGUAAAGAGGCUGUUCUGAGAAGAAUAUUCUGUCAAGAAAAUAUAAGUCUGGCGACAAACAAAUACUUUUUCAGGUACUUGGAGAAAUAGAUAGCAAAAUAGGUACCCGGCGAGAAAUCUCAACAGCACUCUCUGCAAAUUCAGCACUAUCAUUGUGAUGAACAUGUUCUUCUGGUGCACUGUCUUCUCCUAAGUGCGGCUCAAAAAUCUCAUCAUCCUCUUCUGGCUGUGGAGAGGCAUUUAAGUCCAUUCCAGCAAUCACUCAAGGUGAACAAAGAAACAUCGGUGAAGAAUCCUAGCGACUUUUUUUGCCUAAACAGGAUAAUCACAAAUAUGAGCAUGUGAAUAAUACUCCAGACCAUAAAUUAAACAGAAGCCUGAUUAAAAGUUUAAAAUCCAAAAAGCAGCAGUAAGAUCUAAUCCAGAGGGCAAGGCAGCAAAGUAAAUACAAAAAUAACACAUUACUGUAUGGUUAAAAGGUGCCUCAAGGACAAUAUAAAAUGAUUAAUUCUUGCAUGAGAACCUCAAGGUCCAAAACUAAAAGCAUGCUAGUAAUUUCUUCCACAGUCUCUGUGUAUGUGUGUGUGAAAGAGAGAGAGAUUAGCUUCAUAAUAGAGUAAUAAGGAACGCAAAUAAAGUCUUAACCUGUAAACCAAUCAAAUUAAACUCCAGAUAUUUUCAUUCAUGUAAGUGUAUUAACUCUUCAAGUUGAAGCUUUUAAACAUGCAAGCAACAAGUAUAGAAUAUUUGGUAUUGCUAUUUAUUAUAAUACAGAAGUAAGAUGGGGAGGAAUGGCAGGGCCUACUCACUGUUUUUGCUUUUUUUGGUUGGAGGGGUAUCACAGCUUACAAAAUCAAAAUCUGGGUAAUUCUUCGUAAAAAUUGAUUGUGCUCUUUAUGCAAAUGCUAUUCAUGAAUUUGUCAAGGUGCAUGGAAAAGGGAGCAGGACACUCAAAAUUUAAUGUCACGGCAAGUCUUUUUAAUGCCACGGCAAGUCUUUUUAAUGCAAAAAGAAAGAUUUUCAGAAGACCAGUUUGGGUAAUUUCUUCAGAAGCAUGAAAACAGAAAAUUAUCUAUUCUGAAAAAAAUAAAGAUACCUCUUGACUGACCCCAGCAACAAAAGGUUAAAUAAUGUGUAUAUGAUCCCCUUUUAUUCCAACAUGGAUUUUAAAUGAGAGGCUCCGAAUAACUAUAGUAACAGAUAUAAUUAAAAAGGCCACUUCCACAAUGCCUCUUAAGUGCUAAAUGGAAAAUUUUAAAUAGCUUCAAAUGGCAGCACCAACUUCUCGGAACAAUUUUCGAAAACUAUGCAAUAUAACACGAGAAGGUACAUGCUUUCACACAACUUUCUUAAAUAAUGAGAACAAACCCAAGCAAAGUACAAACAGAAGCGUGCAGGGACAUCUUAGACAUGACCAUUAACAGCGCUGCAGUUGUCAAUACAAAACAAGGAAACCCGCCACGAAUGCCCAAUCAUGCAGAAAAACAUCUUGCCACCCUCGACCGAAACAAAAUGGAGAAACAAACAACUGACAAUGUACCACAAUCACACAAUAACAGGCCUGCAUAAUUGAAAAUAAGUCGUCCAAUCCGCAACAAGCACAACAUCAUACAAAAAAUAAAUAGUCCAAUCCACAACAAGCACAGCUCAUACAAAUAUUCGAUCUUUAUGAGCCAUCAUAAACUUAUCAAACAGAAUUCAAAAUCCCCAGAACCUGAUCAACAUGACACAAAAUGCAACUAUACUUUUCAAACUCAGUAAGUUUUUCUCCCACCAAAAAACUCUUUUGUGGAAAUAAUGAACAUUAAAUUGAAGAAAUUUUUAUUCCCCAACCCCACCACACACACCCCCCCCCCUCCCCAAAAAAAAAGUGAGAGUUCCACCGACAGAACCAGCUAAAUCAUGGUAACAUGAACACCAAAUUUAGCCCAAUAACCACAAAAAAAGAAGUCCAUCCAUUUUCCUACCCAUUCCGUUAAAAUGAACGUACAGAAAAGAAAAAAUUAAAAUCCUAGUUCGGCAAUUACGUAACCCAAAAGCAGUGAAUUAACCAGCAACUAAGUUUGAAAGGGUUUUGGCGCAGAAGAAAACGCGAUGAAGGCAAAUUUAUCGGAAUGAGUUGAAACCUCGUCGAGAAAAAAUUGCACGAAAUAGCAACAAAUAAUUCUGUUUUAACUGAAAAACCCCAUAAUUAGGUAAACGUAUGAUUGCCGAGAGUAGAAAAGCAACUAGUAAACCCUAGAGAGAAAGAGAGAGAGAGAAGAACUAACAAGAAAACCAGAGAGAGUAAGCCAAGGAGAGAUCGCACACCGAUUCAUUUUCUCAAUGAAUCCAUGACGCCGGACAAAAAUAAAAAUUUGGUAGGGAGAAUGGGGAAAUUUGUUUUGGGGGAAAAGGAAAUUUAGAAUAAACUCAUGACUCGUGAGUACCCGCGAGUGUUACAUAAUACACAUACACAUCUACGUAAUUUUAGUGGAGAAAUUUUUUUUUUAAAAAUGGAAAGUAAAAUUAAAACGGAGAAAGGGGGGGCGCGGGCGUGGGCGUACCUUGACAGGGCCUGUGGAGGGCGGUGCAGACUUCAGAGUUCAGAGAGAGAAAGACAAAGAGGGAGAAGCGUGGUGAUGUGAGCUUGGUGCGAGCUAGAGUCGAGCGGGGGAAGGAAGAGCGGGGUAAUAUGGUCAAAGGGCCGAUUAUAUAACGGGACGUGACGUGACUGGGGAAGAAAGGUUGAGUUGCGUCACUUCUCAGUUCUCACUUCAUGCGGUUCGACACGUUACCGUCACCGUUAACGGGUGGAAGCUUACUCUUCUUCUUCGAUUUUCUUCUUUUUAUUUUUAUUUUUAUUUUUUAAUUUUUUUUAGCAGUUUGUCAUUUAUGAUUUGUUACGUCAUAUAUAGUACUAUUCUAUAUGAUUAUCUUUUACCGGUAAUUUCUUCUGGCUCAAUUGGUUCGGCAGUUCCAGAGUAACUGCUGCUUCCACUCCACUAGGCAGUUGCAGGCAGUCUCCUGUGCUGUACCAUAUUAGAAAAAUUAUAAUGCAUGUGUGAUGUAUCCCUCAGGUUUGGGAAUUCAUCGGUACCAUUGGCUUCCAAUGCUUCCAACGUUUGACCACAUGUGUAUUUGGAUCAUGGCCGGAACCCAACCACCGAAUCUAUUUAACGGUCCAAGGUUGUCGCACGAUAAUUCACUCUUUUUUUCUCCUCGCCUAACUCUAACGAGUAUUAAUAAAUACCCAUCCACCAAAAAAUUCGUGAUAUUCGACCUAAUUCGAUUCUAAAAAUGGAAUACUCGAUCCGCAUUAUUUGACCAGAUCAAAAGAUGAUUGGAUACCCGUUUAUAUAUAAGGCGAGUUAGGAUCACAAAAUUAAGAAUCCGCGGAUAUUCGACUCGUCCCCAUAUAUAUUAUUUAUUUUUUUUAUUUUCAUACAUAUACUGUAAAAUAAUAUUUUUAAUAUUAACUAAAUAAUUUCAUCGAACAAAUUGCACUGCAAAUAUGAGAAACUAUUUUUUGUUUACGAGAUCCAUUUGUAGAAGUCAUGAUCUUAUAUUUUUUGGGAAAGAUUUUAAUUGAUGUGGAAAAUUAUAUAUAUAUAUUUAUUUAAAAAGGUAGUACUUAUUUCAAAUUUUCAUUAAUUUUGAAUUCUUUUAAAAUUUUUCCUUUUUAUUGUAUUCUCUUUGUAUAUUUGUUUCUUGGCAUGAGACUUUUUCUAAGAAAAAUCUUUGUUGAGUACUCUUAAAUAUGUAAAAUACAAAAUUAAAUUAGUAUAAAUUAUUUUUAAAAAUUUAAAUGAUGAUGGGAUAGGGGUGGGUACUCAUGGACUUGACCUUCCCUUAAGUGGGUAUCAAAAAAAUGGCUGACCUGCAAGGUGUGAGGCAAGUCAAUCAAAUGGUGCAUGAGACAAAGUACUCAAUGUGUGCCCACCUCUACCGCCCCGUAACAUCGCCCACGAUUACUGUAUUUCGUACUCAUUCAUAUCUUUUUCGUGACCAUAUUUUAGUGGACGCUCCUGAUUAUGAUCCCUCCUAUCAUACCACCAAUUCAUAUCUUUUCGCGACCAUAUUUUAGUGGACGAUUUUGAAUUCAAAACCUCCUGAUUACAAUCCCUCCUAUCAUACCACCAGAUUCAAUCCUCCUUUCUACGUGACCUUAAAAUUUACAUCUAAUUUUUGUUUAUUUUUAUUAUUUUUUUCAUUGACCAUUUUUUUUCUUUUCUUUAUCAUGUUGCUUCAAUCUCAUGGCUGAUUUAUCUUAUGCAAAUAAAUUUGGAUUCAAAUUAGUAACUAGAUAAUGUACAAUUGGAACCCUCGCUCAAUAGAUUUACUUUAUGUUAACAUGCUAAGUAUAAUAUCUUGCCUGCCUAGCUGCAUGCUGUAUGCAGGAGAAUGUUUUGGUCUGGGCGAAUGCUUUCAUCUAAAAUGACUAAUUACUUGCCUCGUUUGGAAAUUAGAAUCAUCAGCUUGGAAAUUUAAACCAAAUGUUGCUUUUACCAAUUGUAAUUCCAUUGUUGAUGAAUCCUUUCGCCAUCUGAUACUUAUAGUUCAAUGUCACUUUAUUAAUUUACCUCAAAGCUUUUAUUAUUGUACGUCUGGAAAUAAAUUAUAAAAAAGUACACGUCUUCACUUUCUAGUCUCUAUAUCUCGAUUCAUUUAGAUAGUUAAAUUUUAUCAUACAUAUACCUUAGUUUUAUUAUAUUACUUUUGUCAAUGUUGACUAAAUUUCAAGCUUAAGUAGAGAUUUCUAGUUAUUUAGACUAACCUCUUAUUUCCGAGAGACUUCCUUGGUUUCAAGGGACAAAUCCACUGAUAUUUUCAUGAAUAGUUUUUUAAUUUUGCGUGUAGAUUUGGAAUCUCAAUCAAAUACUAUGAGAAUAUGUCACGGUAAAUCAUAAGAAAAUGGAACAAAAGUGAAGUUACACUAGAAAUAAACGGGACAAUGUGGUUUAAAAGUAAAAGUAGAAAACAGAAAAUAAAAAAUGGAUCAAACUCACAACACGAGGAAAAUUCAACUAUAGUUGACGCAACAUAAUGUGAUUAGUUUUGUGUCUAAUGAUGCGGCGUUCUAUUGAAUGACAUAUGAGAUGCUUAUUAAUAAAACGCUCAAACUUUGUAACUUUUGUUGUUUCGAUGUAAAAUGUUUUCCAUGAGAAAAUCUUUUCAGUAAAAGGCGUUUUCCAUGAAAUUAUUUUAAUGUUUGGUAAACUUUUAAAAUAUCAUUUCGACAGAAUACGUGCAAGUACUCUGCUCUACGUUGUUUAUCAUUUUUUAAAGGCAUAAACUGAUUAUUUCCCAAACUCGAAAGUAAGCUCCCACGAGAAUAUGCAGUGGUGGUACGAGUAGGCAGUUUGAGAUGUUAGGUUCAUGACUUACGGUAAAUGGGAAAAUAACUUAUGAAGAUCUAUUCUGUAAAUUGUUUUCCGCUAGAUGACGUAAAUCAUUUUCCUAAAGAAAAGGUUUUCAGUAGUCUAAUUGCAUCCAAACACUGGAAAAUUUAAAAAAGAUUUUUCGGAAAAUAUUUUACAUCAAAACAAACAGGCCCUAAAUCCUAUGAUUUUUCACCGAAAAUUUUUUUGCUAACUUAUAUAGCCUUUCAGCAUAUAUGUAAUCUUGCAAAGAUCAUCUGGAGAUGUAAUCUUUUGUAAAAAUAAAGCAUAAUUUAGUCGCAGCUAACACUUACCAAUAGGUCUUACUUAACAACGAUUACUUUGCCAUCAGUAGUAGAACUAUCAAUAUACGUAUUACGUACAGGCUCCAACUACUUUUAUUUUUCCCACAGUAAUACGUCAGGGCUACCCUGAACUUAGCGGGAUAAAAAAGUUUAACUAGUGUAAAAGAAUGUCUGCACAAUAGUGUACAAACUGUGAAGGAAUGUUUAAGUGCAAGAGGGAUUGACUCUCCCUCUUCCCUCCUCAUGUCCUUCAUAACUUCAACUGUUUGGUUCAGAAUUUGAACCUUAAAUCUAACACGAUGUAAUCUCCUUAUCUUGUUUUGAAAGAAGUAUGAAAGAGCAAAGGGACUCUCGGGGAGAGGCCAAAGUAGAAGCCUUCUUUACUCUCUCGGGGUAACGUAUUGAAGUGUUUGAAUGCAUGAUACAUGUAAUAAGAGUGAAGUAUUAUACUUAUCAAUUUUACAGUAAUUUAAGGAAGAAGCUCUUCUCCCCCGAGGGGGAAAAACCCAGCUAAGGGGGUAACGUUCAUUUCUUGAGUUAAAAGAGUAGGAAUGGCAACAGUUUCAUUAACCUUAACAUUAUGUAUAUUAAGCAUUAGUUUGACAUUGAACCUAUUCAAUCAGUUAAUCAGUGACCAAUCAAUGUGUGAGAUAUGAUUAGGUACAUAGAUAACCUAACCUUCUCAUACUUACUCACAGGCCGAAAAAAAAAGAAUUAAUUAACAAAGACUAUUCCAACAUUUGUCCAAAUUAAUAAGAGUAUUUUCUCCAUUUCUUGAAAACUAUUAAUUCAUUUUUUUUUUAAUAAGGAUCACCGGUCACUCCACAGUCGAACAUGUGAGUUUUAAAAUUAAAAACAAAAUAAUUGAUAGAGUGACGAGAUAGAUAGAAUUUAACAGAAAGGAAAAGAAAUUUUCAAGAAACACCAAAAGACAUAGCAAUAGAAUAAAAGUAGUAACCUAACCAAAAAUUUCAAAUAUUUUUGAGUAACCUAACCACUUUUAAAAAUUAUAGGAUGAUUAUCCUAUAUUUUUGGUUGGAACCAUUUCCGCUUUCUAGAUUAGCAACUUUUUCAGUUUUUUUUUUUUUUUUUUUGGUGUGUGUGGAACACCACUGGUCGGUACAGAAAACAAAAAAUAAAAGAUUCCAAGAAACGUAGUUUAACAGCGGCGGAGAGAAGGAAAAAAAGGGGUCGGUGACUCAGUUCCUUCCAGAUUUUGGAUUUCGAGUCUCCUUUUAUCUCGGUUUUUUUUUGGUGUGUGUGGAACACCACUGGUCGGUACAGAUUCCAAGAAACGUAGUAGUUUAACAGCGGCGGAGAGAAGGAAAAAAAGGGGUCGGUGACUCAGUUCCUUCCAGAUUUUGGAUUUCGAGUCUCCUUUUAUCUCGGUUUUUAUCACCCGCUCGUUAGUCAUUGAUUGGCUCUUUAAAACCCUAAUUGAGUUCUCAAACCUAAACUCAAAAUCCUCGUAAAUUCCAGGUUAUUUUACAGGCCGAUCUCAAACGGGCAAUCUAAAGUACGUAGUUCAAACUAAUUUUGUUCAUAGCUGUGUUGUUACGGUAUUCUAGCGACGGAAAUACAUUCACGAUGAUUGUGAUUAUGCUAGCUAAUAUUUUAAUUUUUCUCAAAAUUCCCUUUUGUUGUCAAGUUGUUAUGUGGUUUUAUCAAAACUGGCCGCGUCUGAGAACUCAUGGCAAAAGAUAUGCAAUGGAAAAUCAGGGGUAUUCCAUAAUGAUCUUUGAAUCUUAUUUUGAAGAUUUCCCCAACUGCAAAUAAUUCUGUUUAUCUUUUUUUUUUUUUUUCCUUUUCUUUUCUUCAUGUUCCUGGUCCGAUUUCCUGUUAUUAUAAGGUCUUACUCCUAUUAGUUUUGCUAUCGAGGUAACAUCUUAUGUUGCUGUAAGUAUUGGACGAACGAGAAAUUCUUCUGCUACGGUAUGCGUAUUGCCAUGGUAUGCUAUUAGCAAUUUUAGGAGAAGGAAAGAGAAUAGAACUUGGCUAUCGGCAUUCAUAUACAUACAUACAUGCGCGCGCGCGCACACAUAUACAUACACACACAUGGUACAUAUCUCUUCAUUUUUCAGAUGCCAGAAUGGCAGUAUGCCAUUGAAGAACAGAUCAAGGAUCCAACUUACCAAUCACAGAGUACUGUAGAGCAAAGAUUAGAUUUCCAAGCAUGACUAAUUAGAGAAUACAUGCUUGUCAAGUGUAUAAACCAUGUUUUCUAACAUGUAGACAUUCUAGCAUCCACGAUUGCAUAGUAUGCUAGCAUAUGAUGAUAUUAUUUUUACAAUCAAACUGACAAAUCAUGAUUGUCAACUAUGUAUGCACCGAAAAAUUCGCUCUCAUUAAUUUAUUUUGCUUGUCAGGAUAGUACCUGCCUUAAUUUAGUAUACUGCAAUGCGGGAGGGAGAUUGCUGAAGUUGUGGAUGGUUUUGUGGAUGAAGAAAUGGAGGCCUUACAGAAUGACAAGGUUAGAAACAGAAAGAACAUAUCGAGGAAAGACGGAGAAGGAAGAGGGGCAAUGGAGAGUACUUCUUUCAAAGAUCUUCACGAAAGUAUCGUAUUUGGCAUUCUCGUUAAAGUUCCACCUAGUUAUGUUUACAAGAACGGAAGGCUUGUUUGCCGAGCAUGGAGAGAUCUUAUCUCCAGAGAUGAUUUCAUUGUCCAGAAUUUUAUGGAAACCAAGGCGGAAUUACUAGUGGGAGGGCCAACCUCCAGAAGAAAUGGAUAUUUCGAAGUAAAGCUGAUGGAAGUAGAAGGGGCACUGCAGCUUGAUUGUAAGCUACGAGAUUGUGGACUGUGUCGAAUGGGUCGUCCCAGGUCCAGCUGCAAUGGCUUGCUGCUGCUGAAUCACCCAAAGGAGGAAGGGUUGCUGCAAGUGAUGAAUUUAAUAACCACGGUUGGUUUAACACUUCCAAAGUGCCCUUCGGGCUGUCGGCACAAAGCUUGUGGAUCAGCACUUGGUUUUGACCCCAAUAAGAAGGAAUACAAAGUGAUUCACAUGUACGCUGAUUCUUUCGGCUUUGAAAUCUUUAACUUGGCCGGUCCUCCAGAUGCGGCAUGGAGAAUAAUUCCCGGGCCUUGGGAAGGAUUGCAGGAGAGGCCUUAUGACUUUGAACGGUUUUCCUGGAGUGACCCCAUAUCCGUGAAUGGAAGAGUUUUGCAUUGGCAUGUUGCUUCAAACGAGUACAUCAUCUCAAUGGAUGUGAGCGAAGAGAUUUCAACCAAAACAUAUCUUCCCAAUAUCAGCGAGGAGAUAGAGAGUUAUAAGUAUACUUUGGCGGAAUUGGGCGGGUAUCUUUCUUUUGUGUAUGCCUUGUCCGACAUCCAAGUUGAUAUCUGGAUUCUGGAUGACUGCUUUAGAGGACAGAUUUGGUCAAAGAAACAUAGCAUUCAAUUGGAUUUGAUAAAGUACGUGACGCCAGAGAACUCUUUGCUACCCGCUAACCAUGCCAAUGCUUUGCCAAAUCUUAGCAAACUCGUUGCUGUUGCUGGUCGAGGUUGUGACAUAUUGAUCCUGAAGCAUGAAAACUCUUGCUUGUACAUAUAUGACAUGAAACACAGAGUGAUGAAGAAAUUUAAGAUGAAUAUGAAGAAUCCCAUGUACUUCAUACCUCACAGAAGCAGCCUUCUGCACUGGCGGAAUUCCUGAGACUCGGGUCCUAGUUUCUUGGCUGAUUGUAGUCAUUUCAUUGUUGUGUUCCUCUAUUUUUUAGCAGUAGCGUUUGUUUAUUUUCGAGCAAUUCCAUUCUUUUCUUCCUAAAAUACGAUGAACUACUACUAUGAUACCA